rnacentral:rRNA from 1 species
UACGGGGGGAGCAAGCGUUGUUCGGAUUUACUGGGCGUAAAGGGCGCGUAGGCGGUCGUGACAAGUCACUUGUGAAAUCUCCGGGCUUAACUCGGAACGGUCAAGUGAUACUGUCGGACUAGAGUACAGAAGGGGCAACUGGAAUUCUCGGUGUAGCGGUGAAAUGCGUAGAUAUUGGGAAGAACAUCGGUGGCGAAAGCGCCUUGCUGGGUCUGCACUGACACUGAGGGACGAAAGCUAGGGGAGCGAAAGGG